GUGCAUGCAAUAUCAGUCAUUGGCCAUUUUCGGAUAUUUGAGAAAAACAGCUUUAAAGUUUAACAUACACAUUUUAAGAGUGAUAAUCAUCAAGGAUUGAUGAAGAAAGUCAGGAGUGGCCAAGAUCAAAGUUAAAAGGCUCCUGCCUCAUAUGUAUUCCCCUCUGCUUCCUUGUUUUUGUCUUCUUUGUUCUUUUUAUGCCCUCGAAGGACCUUUCUCUUCUUCUUGACUUCAGGCGUAGCUCGAUAAUCCGCUUUCUUGAUGCGCUUUUUGUCUGCUUGGCAAAUACCCUCUUCAAAGUGGAAGCCUGGAUUUAAUCCCUCUUCUUGCAGAAUGUUAAUAGCAGCCCUUGAACCCAUGUUAAAAUGAGCCACUGCAUCAUAUACACCCAAUUCCAGAACAGUUGCACCCACAAAAGUACUCUUUGGAAGCCUGUUCCAAAUCAUACCGUUGAAGGACUCGUUCUGGUUUUGGGUUUUGCCAUCUAAACAUUUGCUCAACAAAGCAUCGUUGCUCAGUCUACAAUAAAUAGGUUUGACAAGACUAAUGAUGUUAUCUGGCAGACCAGGUCCAGGCUUGUACAAAUUAGUGUUAUUAGCCUUGUCUUGUUUAUAACGGCACCAGCUAUCUGGACCAUCAGGACAGUAAUUGUGGAGUUUACGCUUCUCUGAAGACACACAAUGAAAAAGGCUAGCAUAAAUUGCCGACUUCAUCCCAUUCAAAUCUCCACAAUUACUCCUGAUGGCAAUUCCAUAAUAGUUCUGUAGUUUAUCAAUUAGGCUGUCAGUUAGUUUUCCUUUUCCCCCGAUACCUUUGUUCUCUUUUUUUAGCUUCCGAAGAGCUGUUCCGACACGCUUUUGGACAUGACCAACACAUUCCUUCUUUUCAACCUGAACAUUAUCAUAUACAUGCUCAAUCUCUGAAUAUGCUUUGCUGUCCCCAUCACCAAAAUACUCUGUAUACUGUAGUUGCCGGGUGGUUUCACUUCGGCCAAAAAUCCUUUUGAUGCCCUCAGUCUCCAUAGCUGGUGAGGAUCCUUUGUAAUUUAUCUUACAUGAAUGCUUUUCUACCAUAUCAGCUUUCUUAGAAGCAUCCUUC